AUUGAACGCUGGCGGCAGGCCUAACACAUGCAAGUCGAAUGGUAACAGGAAACAGCUUGCUGUUUCGCUGACGAGUGGCGGACGGGUGAGGAAUGUCUGGGAAACUGCCUGAUGGAGGGGGAUAACUACUGGAAACGGUAGCUAAUACCGCAUAACGUCGCAAGAACAAAGAGGGGGACCUUCGGGCCUCUUGCCAUCAGAUGUGCCCAGAUGGGAUUAGCUAGUAGGUGGGGUAACGGCUCACCUAGGCGACGAUCCCUAGCUGGUCUGAGAGGAUGACCAGCCACACUGGAACUGAGACACGGUCCAGACUCCUACGGGAGGCAGCAGUAGGGAAUAUUGCACAAUGGGCGCAAGCCUGAUGCAGCCAUGCCGCGUGUAUGAAGAAGGCCUUCGGGUUGUAAAGUACUUUCAGCGGGGAGGAACGGAGUAAAGUUAAUACCUUUGCUCAUUGACGUUACCCGCAGAAGAAGCCCCGGCUAACUCCGUG
rnacentral:rRNA from 1 species